AAUGAGGUGUCUGAUUAAAGAGUUAUUUUGAUAGAAUAAAACAUGUAAUAAAUAUUACCUUCAUUA
rnacentral:tRNA from 1 species